AGUGUAUAGGAAUCAUGUCAAGAUGGAUGGGAGCGUUGAAGGCCAACGGGCUAAGAAGACUCAAUCAAGUAAGCGAACGCAAAUACGGACGCGCAAGGUUAUACAUGUUUGGAUGUUUCAACAAGAAGUGUACGCGGUUGAAGAUCGAGUCAAGACAUGGAUUGUAUGUGGGUGUGUAUGUAGUCACUUAAAUUGAGACAUGUAUGUUAGUUUUUGGAUUAAUUUAUAAAAGAGAUUAAUGUAUUUAAAUGAAAGAAAGAAUAUCAUGAAGGAAAUUUUAGGUA